rnacentral:rRNA from 1 species
AUGUCCCUCGUCUGCUCCUGCGACAGUACGUCCAAGAGAGCUUCGGAGCACCACGAGGCCAUGGUUGAAGUGGUGCCGACAGAAGGAAGGGACCGGAGGAGAAUAAGUGUGGGUCUUUGGCUAUGGCUGGGAGCUGGGGCUCAAGUUAAUAUAGCGGGGGCAGGGUUGAUGGAUCCUCGAUGGACUGCAAAAGCCUAUGAGAUCCGCAUGAAGGUCAUCUGCACCAAUCCCUGCCACACCGACAUCAUCUUCUCGCAAGGCAAGUGCUACUCGUGCAGCAGCAGAGCGUUUGAGUGGAAGAAUGUGUGCACUAUGCUGUCAUUCGUCGUCGGCCCCGAGAUGCUCCGCGAUGGCACCAUCAAGUUCAGGGACAGCCAUGGGGCAUUUUGCUGCUCGUCUUCCUCUGUUUUGUGGUUAAUUACAAAAUUUACCAAUCCGUACUAUGAAUCUGCAGCAUUCAUUCUUCAUUGGUUAUAUGGUGCUGGGUUUGAGGGUGGCAGCCUCGGCUGGACAACAGAUGUAAGAUUGCGAAGAUAA